UCCAAUAUAGUUCAGUAGGUAGAACGGCGGACUGUUAAUCCGUAUGUCCUUGGUUCGAUCCCAAGUAUUGGAGCCA
rnacentral:tRNA from 1 species